rnacentral:lncRNA from 1 species
GGACGACAACUCCUCUCCUCGGCGACUACUUGCUUGCUCAUUGUCGACCUUCGUUCUACCAUCUUCAAGUCUUCAAUAGGUUCAUAACUUCUUCAUGCUUCAUUCUUCAAUCUUGUGGUUUUAUGUUAGUGUCAACUGAUUCUUUUGCCCUUUUUCGCCUCACGCCUUCACUGGCUGGUUGGGUGGGUAAAGAUACUUGUUUUUAUCACUUUUCCUUUUGUGAAAAUAUGUACUAAUGCACUAUAUAUUUAUUUGGAAGCUCGUUCACUGCCUAAACGAAAUCCUAUUUUUCAGAAUAUAUCCAAUUGAUUAAGUGAAAUGAAACUUCCUUCUCUUUUGUACUCAAUAGACUUAUUAUUUUAACAAUUUGGUUACUCAAUGGGGUAAAAGUUACUCUAUAACAAUGAUAUGGUAAAACUAAUUGGGUCAAGUGUUUCUGUUUUAUUGUUCUUCUCAAUAGUACUUUCAACCAACUUUGUUACAUAGUAGUACUAAGUUUUGUUUUUAAUUGGUUUUGUUCUAUUUUUAGCAAGUUUGCCGUAGAUUGAUAUUCAGAAGUACUAUUUUUUAUUUUAUUUGGUCUUGUUCUAUUUUUAGCAUGUUAGAAGGUCUGUAGAUUGAUGAUGAAUAUAGUAGUUUCAAGAAUGGUGUGCAUUGAAGUACUUCUGUUGGAGGUUGGCGAUAAGGAUUGAUCAAUUCCAUCCUUGAAUUAAUGACUGUAGAUUGACUGAUGAAUAUAGCAGUUCUGUAGUGUCUGCAUAGCUUCAGAAACAUAGAAGUUAGAAACAUCCUUAUUGUUUAACUGUCUGUUAGAUUUCAUGCUUAUUUCAGUGGAAGUUAUUCAUUGUUAUGUACAUAUUAAGUGUUCUCUGCAUCUAAUUGGACUGUGGGAGUGUUAAUUGUUAUAACUUAUAACUGCACCAUUAUCAGGGACGGUGCGAUACCGACCGUACCGCACCAAACAAGAAAUCCGACUCGUACCGAACUACUUUGGUACGGUAUUUGGUAUGCACAAUUGAUAUAUCGAAUACCGAAAUACGGAACCGUAAUUUAUAAAUACCAUACCAAAAUACCGAACGCCCAACCCUAGCAAUUACUUCUCUCUUGUGCAAGAUACGUGGGGAGGGGGGUGGGAUGUGGAGAGAGAAAUAUGUUUGAGUAAUUUUAGGACACUAAUUAUUAUCAUUAAUUCCCUUAAAUGUACAUAAAUGGUAAUUGGGUAUAUAAAAUGUAAUUAUAGUAAAACUUGAGUAGGGAGGGUAAUAUUGUUUCAUAUAGUGUAUAGGCUUACUUUUGAUUGAAAUUAUUUAUGGACUGACAGUUUGGGUAGUUUUUUCAUUUUAUUUUAUUACCGGCUAAUUUGGCUUAAUGUUCUAAUGACAACAAAAUUCGAAUAAUAGCACUUUAGAAUUUAGUUCUUUUUGCUUGAAAAUAUACUGGAGGCUUUUGUGGUAUGUAAACACUUCAGAAUGUUCGCCAUAAAGGUAAUGUCGCCAUAUCUUUAAUGCAAACACCACUGCUACAAGCUCCAAGUCGUGUUGGGGUAGUUCUUUUCAUGAUUCUUUAACUACAUGGAAGCAUAAGCAAUAACUUUUCCACUUUGCAUCAGAACACAGCCAAGGCUCACUCUGGAGGCAUCACAAUAUACUGCGAACCCAUCCGAACCUAUCGGCAAUGUUAACACAGGUGCAGUGGUCAACCUCUUUUUUAACUCUUGAAAACUCUGCUCACAAGCAUAUGACCAUUAGAACUUAACUGCUUUCUGAGUCAACUUAGUAAAUGGAGCUUCAAUUGAGGAAAACCCCUCCACAAACCUUCUAUAGUAGCCAGCUAACCCCAAGAAACUCUUGAUUUUAGUUGGCGUUGUCGGCCUAGGCCAGUUCUUGACUGUUUCUGUCUUCUGAGGGUGUACUUUUAUUCCUUCACUAGAUACCACGUGGCCUAAGAAUGCCCACUCAUUGCAACCAGAACUCACAUUUUGAAAACUUGGCAUAAAGCUCAUUCUCCUUCAAGGUCUGCAAAGCUAUUCUGAGGUGUUCUGCAUGAGCUUCCUUACUCUUAGAGUACACC